rnacentral:rRNA from 1 species
AUACGUAGGUGGCGAGCGUUGUCCGGAUUUACUGGGUGUAAAGGGCGCGUAGGCGGGGAAGCAAGUCAGAUGUGAAAUCCAUGGGCUUAACCCAUGAACUGCAUUUGAAACUGUUUCUCUUGAGUGUCGGAGAGGUAGAUGGAAUUCCUAGUGUAGCGGUGAAAUGCGUAGAUAUUAGGAGGAACACCAGUGGCGAAGGCGACUUACUGGACUGUAACUGACGCUGAGGCGCGAAAGUGUGGGGAGCAAACAGGAUUAGAUACCCUGGUAGUCCACACGGUAAACGAUGAAUGCUAGGUGUAGGGGGUAUCGACCCCUUCUGUGCCGCAGUCAACACAAUAAGUAUUCCGCCUGGGGAGUACGGCCGCAAGGUUGAAACUCAAAGGAAUUGACGGGG